AAACAAACAAAAAUAAAGAUUGUAAAAAAAACUUUGCACACUCUUUCAAUAUACGGGUCGGUAAAUAAAAUCCAUUUUAUUACCUGAACAUGUUUUGUAAAUUCGCCCCUUUUGUCAGAAAUGAAGAAAGGAAUUCCAUUCGCCUUUGCAGUUCAAGGCAGAUCAAAUAAUGGCGUACAUAGUCAUUUAAACAACCGAAGACGACUAUCAUUUUGGCACCCUGGCAAAAGUGUAAGAAAAUCAAGACGAAGAGAAGGAGAGUGAAUACAAAGGCUAUUUGGUUUUGUUACGAUUUUUUUCUUGCACUUGAAUAAAAGAAAAUUUAAGCAGAACAAAAUAAAAUAUACAAAAUAAAGUGUCUAACUGGGUUGCUUGUUCAUACUGUUCAAAAA